rnacentral:rRNA from 1 species
UGCUAAUACCGGAUGUGCCGAGAGGUGAAAGGCUUGCUGCCUGAAGAUGAGCUUGCGUCUGAUUAGCUAGUUGGUGGGGUAAGAGCCUACCAAGGCGACGAUCAGUAGCUGGUCUGAGAGGAUGAUCAGCCACACUGGGACUGAGACACGGCCCAGACUCCUACGGGAGGCAGCAGUGGGGAAUUUUCCGCAAUGGGCGAAAGCCUGACGGAGCAAUACCGCGUGAGGGAGGAAGGCUCUUGGGUUGUAAACCUCUUUUCUCAGGGAAGAAAAAAAUGACGGUACCUGAGGAAUAAGCAUCGGCUAACUCCGUGCCAGCAGCCGCGGUAAUACGGAGGAUGCAAGCGUUAUCCGGAAUGAUUGGGCGUAAAGGGUCCGCAGGUGGCUGUGUAAGUCUGCUGUUAAAGAGUCAUGCUCAACAUGAUCAAGGCAGUGGAAACUACAAGGCUAGAGUGCGUUCGGGGCAGAGGGAAUUCCUGGUGUAGCGGUGAAAUGCGUAGAUAUCAGGAAGAACACCGGUGGCGAAAGCGCUCUGCUAGGCCGCAACUGACACUGAGGGACGAAAGCUAGGGGAGCGAAUGGGA